UUGCUUUAUUUAUUCAUACAGAAUUAUGUAUUUAAAUACAUGUUUUUGCAUAUGUUUUUUUGUUUUUGUUUGCAUAUGUUGAAGCUAAUAGUUCAUAGAAAAAGGCAGGUUAUACUUUUUCACGUAGCAUUGAAAGAUUGAAUAUUUCAAGUUGAUUAAUUUGCAACUCCACGACUUGACUGGUUAUUUGAUUUCAUAAAAAAAAAGGUUUCAUAUGUAGCAGCAUGGUGGUGACUCAUGAAAGUCAAAUGGAAGGGUGAAUUGGAUUCCUUCAUCGGUAGAGUUUUUGAAUUAGUCGUACAUAUCUCAAGUAAUACCCUCCUCGGGUAAGUAUUAUAUGGAUGAGUUAGAAGAUGUUUUGUGUUACAUCAUCGACGUGAGAGUAUCUAAUUAAUUAAAUAAACUUACAAGUGGUCUUAUGUCUUUAGGAAGCAGCUCAAUUAAUCAUGGCAAUUUCUCUUCUUCUUUUUCCGAUUGUUACUAAGCAGAACCCACAUAGCAAUUAUAUCAUGCCUUUUGCUUUGAC
rnacentral:lncRNA from 1 species